AACGCCUAUAUACCCACGCACCUGACACACACAGAGUGGAAGGAAAGAAAACAAUAUUUCCAGUAGGUCAGGUGUUCUUUUCAUUUGCAUAACCACCAGGAAGUUACAGUAAGUUAACCAUUUAGACGUUGUUCCGACCUUCCUUCACGGGUAGUUCUGGGGAUUUACCUUCAUGAGACAUUUCGUGGACUCCUCGUGUGAAUGGCAUCUAAUUUAUUGUCUGUCUAGUAUAGCCUGCUGGAUUGUACAGUAAAUGCGCGUUUGCAGAUUAGAGAGAGUUUUUCUUUGUUUCAAUGGCGACGUGUGCGCUACAUGUAUGAUUCCCAAUGACAAUUGGAAAUGUGUUGUUUUUGAGCUGUGAAAAUGAUUCGCGGAAGGAAAGCUACUUGCUUUUGACCUAACGAAAAUGAAGUUACUUCUCACGGUGGGAUUGUUGUUGGCGUUUGUCUCUACUUCAUCAAGUCUACGGAUCUUGGAAUGGCCCACACUAAACUGUACUCAAGAGGGUUUGAGAUGCGAAGCCAACAUCAAUAACUGCCUGGAUCCUGGGUGGUUGAAGCCUCGCGCUACACUCCUAACAGCCC